UACGUAGGGGGCAAGCGUUGUCCGGAUUCAUUGGGCGUAAAGAGCGUGUAGGCGGCCAGGUAGGUCGGUUGUGAAAACUGGAGGCUCAACCUCCAGACGUCGACGGAAACCGUAUGGCUAGAGUCCGGAAGAGGAGAGUGGAAUUCCUGGUGUAGCGGUGGAAUGCGCAGAUAUCAGGAAGAACACCUAUGGCGAAGGCAGCUCGCUGGGACGGUACUGACGCUGAGACGCGAAAGCGUGGGGAGCAAACAGG
rnacentral:rRNA from 1 species